GGGUUGUGAGGUUAAGCGACUAAGCGUACACGGUGGAUGCCCUGGCAGUCAGAGGCGAUGAAGGGCGUGCUAAUCUGCGAUAAGCGCCGGUAAGGUGAUAUGAACCGUUAUAACCGGCGAUACCCGAAUGGGGAAACCCAGUGUGACUCGUCACACUAUCAUUAACUGAAUCCAUAGGUUAAUGAGGCGAACCGGGGGAACUGAAACAUCUAAGUACCCCGAGGAAAAGAAAUCAACCGAGAUUCCCCCAGUAGCGGCGAGCGAACGGGGAGGAGCCCAGAGCCUGAAUCAGCAUGUGUGUUAGUGGAAGCGUCUGGAAAGGCGCGCGAUACAGGGUGACAGCCCCGUACACAAAAGCGCAUGUGCUGUGAGCUCGAUGAGUAGGGCGGGACACGUGGUAUCCUGUCUGAAUAUGGGGGGACCAUCCUCCAAGGCUAAAUACUCCUGACUGACCGAUAGUGAACCAGUACCGUGAGGGAAAGGCGAAAAGAACCCCGGCGAGGGGAGUGAAAAAGAACCUGAAACCGUGUACGUACAAGCAGUGGGAGCACAGGUUUACCUGUGUGACUGCGUACCUUUUGUAUAAUGGGUCAGCGACUUAUAUUCUGUAGCAAGGUUAACCGAAUAGGGGAGCCGGAGGGAAACCGAGUCUUAACCGGGCGUUAAGUUGCAGGGUAUAGACCCGAAACCCGGUGAUCUAGCCAUGGGCAGGUUGAAGGUUGGGUAACACUAACUGGAGGACCGAACCGACUAAUGUUGAAAAAUUAGCGGAUGACCUGUGGCUGGGGGUGAAAGGCCAAUCAAACCGGGAGAUAGCUGGUUCUCCCCGAAAGCUAUUUAGGUAGCGCCUCGUGAAUUCAUCUCCGGGGGUAGAGCACUGUUUCGGCUAGGGGGCCAUCCCGGCUUACCAACCCGAUGCAAACUGCGAAUACCGGAGAAUGUUAUCACGGGAGACACACGGCGGGUGCUAACGUCCGUCGUGAAGAGGGAAACAACCCAGACCGCCAGCUAAGGUCCCAAAGUCAUGGUUAAGUGGGAAACGAUGUGGGAAGGCCCAGACAGCCAGGAUGUUGGCUUAGAAGCAGCCAUCAUUUAAAGAAAGCGUAAUAGCUCACUGGUCGAGUCGGCCUGCGCGGAAGAUGUAACGGGGCUAAACCAUGCACCGAAGCUGCGGCAGCGACGCUGAUGCGUUGUUGGGUAGGGGAGCGUUCUGUAAGCCUGCGAAGGUGGCCUGUGAGGGUUGCUGGAGGUAUCAGAAGUGCGAAUGCUGACAUAAGUAACGAUAAAGCGGGUGAAAAGCCCGCUCGCCGGAAGACCAAGGGUUCCUGUCCAACGUUAAUCGGGGCAGGGUGAGUCGACCCCUAAGGCGAGGCCGAAAGGCGUAGUCGAUGGGAAACGGGUUAAUAUUCCCGUACUUGGUGUUACUGCGAAGGGGGGACAGAGAAGGCUAUGUUGGCCGGGCGACGGUUGUCCCGGUUUAAGCGUGUAGGCUGGUUUUCCAGGCAAAUCCGGAAAAUCAAGGCUGAGGCGUGAUGACGAGGCACUACGGUGCUGAAGCAACAAAUGCCCUGCUUCCAGGAAAAGCCUCUAAGCAUCAGGUAACAUCAAAUCGUACCCCAAACCGACACAGGUGGUCAGGUAGAGAAUACCAAGGCGCUUGAGAGAACUCGGGUGAAGGAACUAGGCAAAAUGGUGCCGUAACUUCGGGAGAAGGCACGCUGACACGUAGGUGAAGUGAUUUACUCAUGGAGCUGAAGUCAGUCGAAGAUACCAGCUGGCUGCAACUGUUUAUUAAAAACACAGCACUGUGCAAACACGAAAGUGGACGUAUACGGUGUGACGCCUGCCCGGUGCCGGAAGGUUAAUUGAUGGGGUCAGCGCAAGCGAAGCUCCUGAUCGAAGCCCCGGUAAACGGCGGCCGUAACUAUAACGGUCCUAAGGUAGCGAAAUUCCUUGUCGGGUAAGUUCCGACCUGCACGAAUGGCGUAAUGAUGGCCAGGCUGUCUCCACCCGAGACUCAGUGAAAUUGAACUCGCUGUGAAGAUGCAGUGUACCCGCGGCAAGACGGAAAGACCCCGUGAACCUUUACUAUAGCUUGACACUGAACAUUGAGCCUUGAUGUGUAGGAUAGGUGGGAGGCUUUGAAGUGUGGACGCCAGUCUGCAUGGAGCCGACCUUGAAAUACCACCCUUUAAUGUUUGAUGUUCUAACGUGGACCCGUUACCCGGGUUGCGGACAGUGUCUGGUGGGUAGUUUGACUGGGGCGGUCUCCUCCUAAAGAGUAACGGAGGAGCACGAAGGUUGGCUAAUCCUGGUCGGACAUCAGGAGGUUAGUGCAAUGGCAUAAGCCAGCCUGACUGCGAGCGUGACGGCGCGAGCAGGUGCGAAAGCAGGUCAUAGUGAUCCGGUGGUUCUGAAUGGAAGGGCCAUCGCUCAACGGAUAAAAGGUACUCCGGGGAUAACAGGCUGAUACCGCCCAAGAGUUCAUAUCGACGGCGGUGUUUGGCACCUCGAUGUCGGCUCAUCACAUCCUGGGGCUGAAGUAGGUCCCAAGGGUAUGGCUGUUCGCCAUUUAAAGUGGUACGCGAGCUGGGUUUAGAACGUCGUGAGACAGUUCGGUCCCUAUCUGCCGUGGGCGCUGGAGAACUGAGGGGGGCUGCUCCUAGUACGAGAGGACCGGAGUGGACGCAUCACUGGUGUUCGGGUUGUCAUGCCAAUGGCACUGCCCGGUAGCUAAAUGCGGAAGAGAUAAGUGCUGAAAGCAUCUAAGCACGAAACUUGCCCCGAGAUGAGUUCUCCCUGAGACUUAGAGUCUCCUGAAGGAACGUUGAAGACGACGACGUUGAUAGGCCGGGUGUGUAAGCGCAGCGAUGCGUUGAGCUAACCGGUACUAAUGAACCGUGAGGCUUAACCUUACAACGCCGAAG
rnacentral:rRNA from 1 species